rnacentral:rRNA from 1 species
GGUGAAGCCUGCGGUUCAAUUGGAGUCAACGCCAGGAAACUUACCAGGAGAGACAGCAGGUUGAGGGUCAGUCUGAAGAACUUACCUGACGAGCUGAGAGGAGGUGCAUGGCCGUCGCCAGCUCGUGCCGUGAGGCGUCCUGUUAAGUCAGGCAACGAGCGAGACCCCUAUCGGUAAUUGCUAACUGCCCAGAGAUGGGCAGAGGCUAGUUACAGAGACUGCCGUUGAUAAAACGGAGGAAGGAAGGGGCCACGGCAGGUCAGUAUGCCCCGAAACUCCUGGGCCACACGCGGGCUGCAAUGGUAGGGACAAUAGGUUCCGACCUCGAAGGAGGAAGGCAAUCCCCAAACCCUACCCCAGUUGUGAUCGAGGAUUGAAACCCGUCCUCGUGAAUAUGGAAUCCCUAGUAACCGCGUGUCAUCACCGCGCGGUGAAUACGUCCCUGCUCCUUGU